GACGAACGCUGGCGGCGUGCCUAAUACAUGCAAGUAGAACGCUGAAGGAGGAGCUUGCUUCUCUGGAUGAGUUGCGAACGGGUGAGUAACGCGUAGGUAACCUGCCUGGUAGCGGGGGAUAACUAUUGGAAACGAUAGCUAAUACCGCAUAAGAGUAGAUGUUGCAUGACAUUUGCUUAAAAGGUGCAAUUGCAUCACUACCAGAUGGACCUGCGUUGUAUUAGCUAGUUGGUGAGGUAACGGCUCACCAAGGCGACGAUACAUAGCCGACCUGAGAGGGUGAUCGGCCACACUGGGACUGAGACACGGCCCAGACUCCUACGGGAGGCAGCAGUAGGGAAUCUGCGGCAAUGGACGGAAGUCUGACCGAGCAACGCCGCGUGAGGGAAGAAGGGUGUCGGAUCGUAAAGCUCGGUUGUAAGAGAAGAACGAGUGUGAGAGUGGAAAGUUCACACUGUGACGGUAUCUUACCAGAAAGAGACGGCUAACUACGUG
rnacentral:rRNA from 1 species